AGGCAGUGCGGCGUGCUAUACAUGCAGUCGAGCGAAUGGAUUAAGAGCUUGCUCUUAUGAAGUUAGCGGCGGACGGGUGAGUAACACGUGGGUAACCUGCCCAUAAGACUGGGAUAACUCCGGGAAACCGGGGCUAAUACCGGAUAACAUUUUGAACCGCAUGGUUCGAAAUUGAAAGGCGGCUUCGGCUGUCACUUAUGGAUGGACCCGCGUCGCAUUAGCUAGUUGGUGAGGUAACGGCUCACCAAGGCAACGAUGCGUAGCCGACCUGAGAGGGUGAUCGGCCACACUGGGACUGAGACACGGCCCAGACUCCUACGGGAGGCAGCAGUAGGGAAUCUUCCGCAAUGGACGAAAGUCUGACGGAGCAACGCCGCGUGAGUGAUGAAGGCUUUCGGGU
rnacentral:rRNA from 1 species